UCGGCCGCAGAUGAAACGUCACUUCGUUCGCUCGCUUCACGCUUGUUCGCUCAUCCUGCUGCCGUAGUAACCUAUCCACCUAUGUUUUUCUCGCACUGAUCCAAGUGAUCGACGAAACAUACAUCAUACGCGCCUCGGAUGAUCGAUCGCGAAGAUUUGAACUCGCUGAACUCUUUUGACUUUAUCAGCACCUGCAGCUUCUCCUGACCGUUGAAACUGUUAUUUCUUCGAAAGUGAUUGCUGUCGCUGGUUUGAAGGUGCACUAUACACCAAGUUACAAUAAUAUAUAUUGAAAAUGUAGAUAUUGCAACCAACUCCGUGAAUCGCUUUUCGCAUCAAUAUUAACGAAGGAUCAUUAGCUGAUGACUGCCGAGCAAAACAAAAGCGAAACUUCUCAACGGGCCCGUGCGUAACGCGUGAAACGAAAUAAUCAAAAUAAGGCAAAUGGAGCUGCACCUACGGCUACAUUUAACUGCGGGUCGUUCCACAGCAACACGGUAGACAAUUUGUGGAAACAAUUCUUCGAAUAAUAUAAAAGAAACGAAUGAGAAGAAAACGAAGAAGAAGAAGAAGGAGAAGAAGAAGAAGAAGCUGCGCCUCAUCCACUAAGUCAAAAGGAACAUGCGGCAGACGAGUAGAGAGCGAAAGAAAUAGAGCGGACAAGCGGGUGCGCGACGCCAGUCGUCGAUUAUUUUUUCCUGCGGCGAUUUUCGCUUUUGUUCUCCCGCCUGCUCGCGCCUUGUGUACCUGCAGCGUAUAGCCGUGGAUAAUUAUAUAUCGAGGAAAAAGUGCCGAGAGACAAUCGCGUGACAUUAAAGGAUUUCUUAGUCAACAGGGGUCACCCAUCAAGAGACGCUUAUAAACAUUCAACUGCAAUGGGCUUUCGUCGAUACUCAACUAUGGUCAAAUACGUAUAAAAAUCAUGUGGGCGAAUAAACCAUUUUUGCGCGUUUGUUUUAACUAUAUCAGUAACAAAGUUUUAUGAUAUACUUAAAAGUGCCCAUCAGAUAUACUAUUCAAGAACGAUAAAUGAUCAUACAAAAUAUAUCUUCAACAACAACGUUUUGAUAAAAAAACUACUUUCAAUAGCUAAAAAAUACAUCAAUUAGUCAUGCAACAUCCCGUAGGAUCCUGUGUUAAACGACAUGAACGAAAAUAUUAAUAUCACGCUUCCUAGCUAUAGGUAUACCCUCUGAAUCUCUGAUCUAAAAAAUUUAACCAAGUCAUCUUGAGAGCUACAAAUUUUAUCGAAUCUGCUUUUCAAAUGAUGAGUAUUCCUGUUAGCAAGCAAUCUUUACAUAUAUUCAGUCAGCGCUGCACCAUAAUCAUUAUAAUCAUAUCACUAUAAUUAAUAACAAGACAAA